rnacentral:rRNA from 1 species
CCUACGGGCGGCAGCAGUGGGGAAUAUUGGACAAUGGGCGAAAGCCUGAUCCAGCCAUGCCGCGUGUGUGAAGAAGGCCUUCGGGUUGUAAAGCACUUUCAGUGGGGAAGAAAGCCUUGAGGCUAAUACCCUCGAGGAAGGACAUCACCCACAGAAGAAGCACCGGCUAACUCCGUGCCAGCAGCCGCGGUAAUACGGAGGGUGCGAGCGUUAAUCGGAAUUACUGGGCGUAAAGCGCGCGUAGGCGGUCUGAUAAGCCGGUUGUGAAAGCCCCGGGCUCAACCUGGGAACGGCAUCCGGAACUGUCAGGCUAGAGUGCAGGAGAGGAAGGUAGAAUUCCCGGUGUAGCGGUGAAAUGCGUAGAGAUCGGGAGGAAUACCAGUGGCGAAGGCGGCCUUCUGGACUGACACUGACGCUGAGGUGCGAAAGCGUGGGUAGCAAACAGGAUUAGAUACCCGGGUAGUC